rnacentral:rRNA from 1 species
CCCUUAGAUGUUCUGGGCCGCACGCGUGCUACACUGAGUGGAUCAGCGGGUCAGGUUGCGCGAAAGUGUUUCCUAAUCUUGAAAUCCGCUCGUGAUGGGGAUUGACGGUUGCAAUUUUCCGUCAUGAACGAGGAAUACCUUGUAAGCGCGGGUCAUCAUCCCGCGCUGAAUACGUCCCUGCCCUUUGUACACACCGCCCGUCGCUCCUACCGAUUGAGUGGUCCGGUGAGGCUUUGGGACCUGAGCAAAGAGAGCGUUUCGCUCGUUUUGCCCGGAAAACUCAGUCGAACCUUAUCAUUUAGAGGAAGGAGAAGUCGUAACA